UUAAGCUACUAAGAGCACACGGAGGAUGCCUAGGCGCUAGGAGCCGAAGAAGGACGUGGCGAACAACGAUACUGCCUCGGGGAGCUGUAAGCAAGCUUCGAUCCGGGGAUGUCCGAAUGGGGAAACCCAGCUGAUGUAAUAGUCAGUUACCCGUAUCUGAAUACAUAGGAUGCGAGGAGGCAUACCCAGGGAACUGAAACAUCUAAGUACCUGGAGGAAGAGAAAACAAGAGUGAUUCCGUCAGUAGCGGCGAGCGAACGCGGAACAGCCUAAACCAGAGAGCUUGCUCUCUGGGGUUGUGGGACGUCUCACAUGGAGUUACAAAGGAACAUAUUAGGCGAAGAGGUCUGGAAAGGCCCGCUAUAAGAGGUAAAAGCCCUGUAGCCGAAAGUAUAUUCCCUCCGAGACGGAUCCCGAGUAGUGCGGGGCACGUGAAACCCCGUAUGAAUCCAGCAGGACCAUCUGCUAAGGCUAAAUACUCCCUAGCGACCGAUAGUGAAGCAGUACCGUGAGGGAAAGGUGAAAAGCACCCCGGAAGGGGAGUGAAAUAGAACCUGAAACCGUGUGCUUACAAGAAGUCAGAGCCCUAUUUAUGGGUGAUGGCGUGCCUUUUGUAGAAUGAACCGGCGAGUUACGUUCCCAUGCAAGGUUAAGGCGAGAAGCCGUAGCCGCAGCGAAAGCGAGUCUGAAUAGGGCGACUUAGUAUGUGGGCGUAGACCCGAAACCGUGUGAUCUACCCCUGUCCAGGGUGAAGGUGCGGUAACACGCACUGGAGGCCCGAACCCACGUAUGUUGAAAAAUGCGGGGAUGAGGUGGGGGUAGCGGAGAAAUUCCAAUCGAACUCGGAGAUAGCUGGUUCUCCCCGAAAUAGCUUUAGGGCUAGCCUCGGAAUGAAGAGUCGUGGAGGUAGAGCACUGAUUGGGUGCGGGGCCCGCAAGGGUUACCAAGCUCAGUCAAACUCCGAAUGCCAUAGACUUAUAUCCGGGAGUCAGACAGUGAGUGCUAAGAUCCAUUGUCAAAAGGGAAACAGCCCAGACCAUCAGCUAAGGUCCCCAAGUGUGUGUUAAGUGGGAAAGGAUGUGGAGUUGCACAGACAACCAGGAUGUUGGCUUAGAAGCAGCCACCAUUUAAAGAGUGCGUAAUAGCUCACUGGUCGAGUGACUCUGCGCCGAAAAUGUAACGGGGCUAAACACACCACCGAAGCUAUGGCUUGAUGCGUAUGCAUCAGGGGUAGGGGAGCGUUGUAUGCAGGUUGAAGGUGUACCGUAAGGAGCGCUGGACAGCAUACAAGUGAGAAUGCCGGUAUGAGUAACGAAAAGAUCAGUGAGAAUCUGAUCCGCCGAAAGCCCAAGGUUUCCUGAGGAAGGCUCGUCCGCUCAGGGUAAGUCGGGACCUAAGGUGAGGCCGAAAGGCGUAAUCGAAGGACAACAGGUUGAAAUUCCUGUACCACCGUAAACCGUUAUGAACGAUGGGGUGACGCAGGAGGGUAGUGACGCGGACUGAUGGAUGUCCGUCCAAGCAGUGAGGCUGAUGUGUAGGCAAAUCCGCACAUCGUAAGGCUGGGCUGUGAUGGGGAGUGAAAAUUACAGUAGCGAAGGUCAUGAUCUCACACUGCCAAGAAAAGCCUCUAGUCAGGUGAAGGUGCCCGUACCGCAAACCGACACAGGUAGGCGAGAAGAGAAUUCUAAGGCGCGCGGAAGAACUCUCGUUAAGGAACUCGGCAAAAUGACCCCGUAACUUCGGGAGAAGGGGUGCCUCGGUAGGGUGAAUAGCCCGAGGGGGCCGCAGUGAAAAGGCCCAAGCGACUGUUUAGCAAAAACACAGGUCUGUGCGAAGCCGUAAGGCGAAGUAUACGGGCUGACGCCUGCCCGGUGCUGGAAGGUUAAGGGGAGCGGUUAGGGGUUAAACCCGAAGCUGUGAACCGAAGCCCCAGUAAACGGCGGCCGUAACUAUAACGGUCCUAAGGUAGCGAAAUUCCUUGUCAGGUAAAUUCUGACCCGCACGAAUGGCGUAACGACUUGGGCGCUGUCUCAACGAGAGAUCCGGUGAAAUUUUAAUACCUGUGAAGAUGCAGGUUACCCGCGACAAGACGGAAAGACCCCAUGGAGCUUUACUGCAGCUUGAUAUUGGAUUUGGGUACGAUCUGUACAGGAUAGGUGGGAGCCUAAGAAGCAUGAGCGCCAGCUUGUGUGGAGGCGACGUUGGGAUACCACCCUGAUCGUAUCUAGGUUCUAACCUGGUACCGUAAUCCGGUACGGGGACAGUGUCAGGCGGGCAGUUUGACUGGGGCGGUCGCCUCCUAAAGAGUAACGGAGGCGCCCCAAGGUUCCCUCAGAAUGGUUGGAAAUCAUUCGAAGAGUGCAAAGGCAUAAGGGAGCUUGACUGCGAGACCUACAAGUCGAGCAGGGACGAAAGUCGGGCUUAGUGAUCCGGUGGUACCGCAUGGAAGGGCCAUCGCUCAACGGAUAAAAGCUACCCUGGGGAUAACAGGCUUAUCUCCCCCAAGAGUCCACAUCGACGGGGAGGUUUGGCACCUCGAUGUCGGCUCAUCGCAUCCUGGGGCUGAAGUAGGUCCCAAGGGUUGGGCUGUUCGCCCAUUAAAGCGGUACGCGAGCUGGGUUCAGAACGUCGUGAGACAGUUCGGUCCCUAUCUGUCGUGGGCGUAGGAAAUUUGAGAGGAGCUGUCCUUAGUACGAGAGGACCGGGAUGGACGUACCGCUGGUGCACCAGUUGUUCCGCCAGGAGCAUGGCUGGGUAGCUACGUACGGACGGGAUAAGCGCUGAAAGCAUCUAAGCGUGAAGCCCCCCUCAAGAUGAGAUUUCCCAGUAUGUAAGACCCCUUGAAGACGACGAGGUAGAUAGGUUGGAGGUGGAAGUGCAGCAAUGCAUGGAGCUGACCAAUACUAAUCGGUCGAGGGCUUAUCCAA
rnacentral:rRNA from 1 species